AGAGUUUGAUCAUGGCUCAGAACGAACGCUGGCGGCGUGGAUAAGACAUGCAAGUCGGACGAGAUUUUUCGUUGUAGCAAUACGAUGGAAAGUCUAGUGGCGAACGGGUGCUUAACACGUGGGCAACCUGCCAAGAAGUGGGGGACAGCUCGCCGAAAAGGCGGAUUAAUACCGCAUGUGAUUAGAGAGGACAUCCUUUCGAAAUUAAAGUCGGGGCAACCUGACGCUUCUUGUGGGGCCCGCGGCCUAUCAGCUAGUUGGUGAGGUAACGGCUUACCAAGGCUUUGACGGGUAGCUGGUCUGAGAGGACGACCAGCCACACUGGGACUGAGACACGGCCCAGACACCUACGGGUGGCAGCAGUCGAGAAUUUUUGACAAUGGGGGAAACCCUGAUCGAGCGACGCCGCGUGGAGGAUGAAGGUCUUCGGAUUGUAAACUCCUGUCAUUGGGGAACAAGGUGCAUACGUUAACUGCGUGUGUAUUGAUAGUACCCGAAGAGGAAGAGACGGCUAACUCUGUGCCAGCAGCCGCGGUAAUACAGAGGUCUCAAGCGUUGUUCGGAUUCAUUGGGCGUAAAGGGUGCGUAGGCGGCGCGGUAAGUCGGGUGUGAAAUCUCGGAGCUUAACUCCGAAACUGCAUUCGAUACUGCCGUGCUUGAGGACUGGAGAGGAGACUGGAAUUUACGGUGUAGCGGUGAAAUGCGUAGAUAUCGUAAGGAAGACCAGUGGCGAAGGCGGGUCUCUGGACAGUUCCUGACGCUGAGGCACGAAGGUCAGGGGAGCAAACGGGAUUAGAUACCCUAGUAGUCC
rnacentral:rRNA from 1 species